UCGGGAAUUUUGCUCAAUGGGGGAAACCCUGAAGCAGCAACGCCGCGUGAGGGAUGAAGGCCUUCGGGUUGUAAACCUCUUUUCUCAGGGACGAUGAUGACGGUACCUGAGGAAUAAGUCACGGCUAACUACGUGCCAGCAGCCGCGGUAAUACGUAGGUGACUAGCGUUGUCCGGAUUUACUGGGCGUAAAGAGCGCGCAGGCGGUCGUUCAAGUCGAGUGUGAAAGCCCCCGGCUCAACUGGGGAGGGUCACUUGAUACUGAGCGACUCGAAGGCAGGAGAGGGAAGUGAAAUUCCCGGUGUAGUGGUGAAAUGCGUAGAUAUCGGGAGGAACACCAGUGGCGAAGGCGACUUCCUGGCCUGUUCUUGACGCUGAGGCGCGAAAGCUGGGGGAGCAAACGGG
rnacentral:rRNA from 1 species